rnacentral:misc_RNA from 1 species
UGGUUCUGGCAUCGAUGAAGAACGCAGCGAAAUGCGAUAAGUAAUGUGAAUUGCAGAAUUCAGUGAAUCAUCGAAUCUUUGAACGCACAUUGCGCCCGCCAGUAUUCUGGCGGGCAUGCCUGUUCGAGCGUCAUUUCAACCCCUUAAGCCCCUGUUGCUUAGCGUUGGGAGCCUACGGCCCGCCGUAGCUCCUCAAAGUUAGUGGCGGAGUCGGCCCGUACCCCAGGCGUAGUAGUUCAUUCAGCUCGCCCGCGGUCGGACCGGUCCCCUGCCGUAAAACACACCAUUUUCUCGCAAGGUUGACCUCGGAUCAGGUAGGGAUACCCGCUGA